rnacentral:rRNA from 1 species
AAAGGAAUUGACGGGGGCCCGCACAAGCGGUGGAUUAUGUGGUUUAAUUCGAAGCAACGCGCAGAACCUUACCUAGGCUUGACAUCCCACGACAUCCGUAGAAAUACGGCUUUGUAGCAAUACACGUGGAGACAGGUGCUGCAUGGCUGUCGUCAGCUCGUGUUGUGAAAUGUUGGGUUAAGUCCCGCAACGAGCGCAACCCCUGGAUUUAGUUGCCAGCAUUAAGUUGGGCACUCUAAAUUAACUGCCAGCGUUAAGCUGGAGGAAGGUGGGGAUGACGUCAAGUCCUCAUGGCCCUUACGCCUAGGGCUACACACGUAAUACAAUGGAUAGGACAAAGGGUCGCGAACCUGCGAGGGGGAGCUAAUCUCAAAAACCUAUCCUCAGUUCGGAUUGGAGGCUGCAAUUCGCCUCCAUGAAGGCGGAAUCGCUAGUAAUCGUGGAUCAGAACGCCACGGUGAAUACGUUCCCGGGCCUUGUACACACCGCCCGU